UACGGGGGGGGCAAGCGUUGUUCGGAAUUACUGGGCGUAAAGGGCGCGUAGGCGGUUGGAUAAGUCAGCUGUGAAAACCACGGGCUUAACUCGUGGCCUGCAGUUGAGACUGUCUGGCUUGAGUGUGGGAGAGGAGAGUGGAAUUCCUGGUGUAGCGGUGAAAUGCGUAGAUAUCGGAAGGAACAUCAGUGGCGAAGGCGACUUCCUGGACCAAUACUGACGCUCAGGUGCGAAAGCGUGGGGAGCAAACAGG
rnacentral:rRNA from 1 species